rnacentral:rRNA from 1 species
GGACGAACGCUGGCGGCGUGCUUAACACAUGCAAGUCGAACGGUGACCCAGGGCUUGCCCUGGUGAUCAGUGGCGAACGGGUGAGUAACACGUGGGCAACCUGCCCCUGACUUCGGGAUAACUCCUCGAAAGAGGAGCUAAUACCGGAUACGACCACUUCGGACAUCCGAUGGUGGUGGAAAGUUUUUCGGUCAGGGAUGGGCCCGCGGCCUAUCAGCUAGUUGGUGGGGUAAUGGCCUACCAAGGCGACGACGGGUAGCCGGCCUGAGAGGGCGACCGGCCACACUGGGACUGAGACACGGCCCAGACUCCUACGGGAGGCAGCAGUGGGGAAUAUUGCGCAAUGGCGAAAGCCUGACGCAGCGACGCCGCGUGAGGGAUGAAGGCCUUCGGGUUGUAAACCUCUUUCAGCAGGGACGAAGCGAAAGUGACGGUACCUGCAGAAGAAGCACCGGCUAACUACGUG